AGAGUUUGAUCCUGGCUCAGAGCGAACGCUGGCGGCAGGCCUAACACAUGCAAGUCGAGCGCCCCGCAAGGGGAGCGGCAGACGGGAGAGUAACACGUGGGAACGUACCCUUUGGUUCGGAACAACCCAGGGAAACUUGGGCUAAUACCGGAUAAGUCCGUAAGGAGAAAGAUUUAUCGCCGAAGGAUCGGCCCGCGUCUGAUUAGCUAGUUGGUGAGGUAACGGCUCACCAAGGCGACGAUCAGUAGCUGGUCUGAGAGGAUGAUCAGCCUCACUGGGACUGAGACACGGCCCAGACUCCUACGGGAGGCAGCAGUGGGGAAUAUUGGACAAUGGGCGCAAGCCUGAUCCAGCCAUGCCGCGUGGGU
rnacentral:rRNA from 1 species